CACGUAGGGCGCAAGCGUUGUCCGGAAUUAUUGGGCGUAAAGAGCUCGUAGGCGGUCUGUUGCGUCCGCUGUGAAAACUCGGGGCUUAACCCCGAGCCUGCAGUGGAUACGGGCAGACUAGAGGUAGGUAGGGGAGAAUGGAAUUCCCGGUGUAGCGGUGAAUGCGCAGAUAUCGGGAGGAACACCGGUGGCGAAGGCGGUUCUCUGGGCCUUACCUGACGCUGAGGAGCGAAAGCGUGGGGAGCGAAACAGG
rnacentral:rRNA from 1 species